GAUCUUGGAGAAGAUCCAUGUUGCCUAGUGAGAAGACAUCAUGUAAAAUGACCUAAGAGAUUUGUUCUUGACCUAGGAUUGUAAAGGAACGAUGGGGAGAUGAUUGUUUGAGGAUUAGGUUAGGGCCACACGCAUGAUCUUUUCUUACCGUAUCUGCCAAUGACCAGAUUCGGUCGGAACCAAAAAUUUGGAGCUAGUCCCCGAGCAACGAGGGUGUCACCAGCUUUUUUCACCAGUGAGGAAUCAGCAGUGCCGAGGUCUUCGCUCUUCAGGGGUCAGGUGAUUUCAGUCCUGUGCUUGUCAGCGGAGCUCAUUUAUCCAUUGGCACAUAGCUCCCACCUGCCUAAAGAUGGGGGCGUGUGCAGGACGGAGUCACGGUCCUGCCGCAGUCCAGUGGGGGGGGGGGGGGUUCCUGGUCGGAAGGCUCCCUCUAAACAGCAACGAUCCUUGGCAUCUUGUCGCCUGUUCUUGUCUCCACGUCCUCGGAGUCCUGUCCAGUCAACGGAAGGAAAACGGAGCCUUGCAGAAUCAUUUAUCCGUGCCCUGUCUCCAUUUGCAAGAUGAGGAAAUUGCAAGACUAUAUGCUCAUUUGAUCUUGCCCGAAGUCACAGGAAUUCAGUGAGAUACUCUUGGGAUAUGCAAAAGAGCAUGACAGAGAAACCUUCCGCAUGACAAAAAGCGGUCAUUGGACCAUCAAGGAGCCAAAUGUUUCACCCCUGGGAACCUCUUUUGCUUUUGGAGUAAGGGGACAUUGAGGGGGCUCGAACUCACGACCCAAGAUCCAAAGUCUCCUGCUUUUGUGACGGAGCCAGUCAGGCGGCCCAAGCAACACAGCCUUAUUAGUAGAAGCAGUUCCACACUUGCACUUGGUAAAGAACGCGCUCACUUGGCCCCCUGGGUGGUUUAGUCAGGUGAGCAUCUGACUCUUGGUUUCAGCUCAGGCCACGAUCUCGACGUUGGUGGGAUUGAGCCCCCGGUCGGGCUCCGUGCUGACAGUGCGGAGCCUGCUUGGGGUUCUCUCCCUGUCUCUGCCCCUCCCCUGAUCGUGCUCACUCUUUCUCUCUCUCUGGAAAAUAGAUACACUUAAAGAAAU